rnacentral:rRNA from 1 species
UACGUAGGGGGCGAGCGUUGUUCGGAAUUACUGGGCGUAAAGGGCGCGUAGGCGGCUUUUUAAGUCUGGGGUGAAAGCCUGUGGCUCAACCACAGAAUUGCCUUCGAUACUGUAGAGCUUGAGUCCGGAAGAGGUAAGUGGAACUGCGAGUGUAGAGGUGAAAUUCGUAGAUAUUCGCAAGAACACCAGUGGCGAAGGCGGCUUACUGGUCCGGUUCUGACGCUGAGGCGCGAAAGCGUGGGGAGCAAACAGG